rnacentral:rRNA from 1 species
GGAUUGAACGCUGGCGGCAUGCUUUACACAUGCAAGUCGAACGGUAACAGGCCGCAAGGUGCUGACGAGUGGCGAACGGGUGAGUAAUGUAUCGGAACGUGCCCAGUCGUGGGGGAUAACGCAGCGAAAGCUGCGCUAAUACCGCAUACGAUCUAUGGAUGAAAGCGGGGGACCGUAAGGCCUCGCGCGAUUGGAGCGGCCGAUAUCAGAUUAGGUAGUUGGUGGGUAAAGGGCUCACCAAGCCAACGAUCUGUAGCUGGUCUGAGAGGACGACCAGCCACACUGGGACUGAGACACGGCCCAGACUCCUGCGGAGGCAGCAGUGGGGAAUUUUGGACAAUGGGCGCAAGCCUGAUCCAGCAAUGCCGCGUGCAGGAAGAAGGCCUUCGGUGUAAACUGCUUUGUACGGAACGAACGGUCCUGGUUAAUACCUGGGCUAAUGACGGUACCGUAAGAAUAAGCACCGGCUAACUACGUGCCAGCAGCCGCGUAAC